rnacentral:ncRNA from 1 species
AGGCUCCUGCUCGUGAUCGUCUUCUCAACCUUCACCGGGCAGGCGGAAAAGAGGACGGCCCCCGCGAUGACGUGAAUCGCGGGGGCCGUCU